AUCCCAGCAGUGCAAUGGAUAGCGCUUUGGACUUCUAAUCCAUAAUGUCGUGGGUUCGAAUCCCCCUUGGGAUG